UACGAAGGGGCUAGCGUUGCUCGGAAUCACUGGGCGUAAAGCGCACGUAGGCGGAUCGUUAAGUCAGGGGUGAAAUCCUGGAGCUCAACUCCAGAACUGCCUUUGAUACUGGCGACCUUGAGUUCGGGAGAGGUGAGUGGAACUGCGAGUGUAGAGGUGAAAUUCGUAGAUAUUCGCAAGAACACCAGUGGCGAAGGCGGCUCACUGGCCCGAUACUGACGCUGAGGUGCGAAAGCGUGGGGAGCAAACAGG
rnacentral:rRNA from 1 species